GGAAUUAGAAACCCCAUACAUACGACAUACGCCCUUUCUCUCUCCUCUUUUCCUCUCUGCCUCCUAUUUUCAUUUCUCUUCAUCAACUUAGGGUUUUCUCGCCUUCUCUCUUUCGUUGUAAAGCAAGUUAUCAUUUUCUUCAAAUUGAGCGUCAUAUAUCAGUAGCUUUUCGUGAACAACAACUAGCAGUUUUUUAUGGAAGACGCUGCUGUAGCGAUUUCAGAAGCCUCAGUUCGCCGUUCGAUUGAUAAGUUUCAACACUACUUCUCUCUCUCCUCACUUUCUCUCUCUUUUCUGCUUCAAUCAUGUCAAUAAUGGUGGAUUUGUGUGCUUAGAAAAGAAAUAGAGGUGCGAAGUUGAUUCCUAACCUAAAUGAAGUACUUGUGUUCUAGUUUUGAGUCAUAGAUUUCCUAAUCAUAAGCUAGUUGUUUUUUUAAUAAGAUUGAUGAGAAAUUAGGUUUUUUUCUUCGGUUGUUGGUGGUUUAGCAUCGUAAGCUGUUCUAUGGUUUUUGAAGGUAUUUUUGCGACGAAUCAGAGCUUCAGGGGUUCGGAGACGCUACUGCUGUCGAUUAGACAUAAGGUUCCAUCGCUAGAGAGUCCAGGAAGAAAGAUGAUAUGGUUUUCACAUGAUUUUUUAUUGGUUUAAGUGAUUUCAUCUUCUUUGACAGACCUUUAAAUGACAUCUAACUACUCUUAUGAGUUGCUGCUCGUACUUAAAUUUAAAGCAAAACUCAAUAAUUGAUGAUGAGUUCCCUUUCAAAAGGAAAUUGAAAAGGAUUUCCCAUCUUGAUCUUGAUAGAGAAGAUUCUGACGACGUUCUUGAGGAUGUUCGCCUGAAAUUUAAGCGCAAUCGUGUUGUUGGAGCUGCAACCGCUGUUAAAUUUGACCAUAUUAGCUUGAUUGGUACAUCGUCUUGACAGAGAAAGUAGUGGGAUCCUCUUGAUGGGGAGGACAAAGGAGAGCGCUUUUUAUCUUCAACAAUUGUUCAUCAUCAUUAAUGUGGCAAAAACAUCUUGUCUGUCCUGGAAUGAUGCUUGUGGAGCAACUUUCAUGAGAUAUUGGGCAUUGGUUGUUGGGUCCCCUAGAGAAAAGGAAGGUGUAAUAUGUGCUCCUCUCACAAAGGUUCUCUCUCAAACACACCUCUCCCUCCCUUAAAAACAAGUGCUGUUGGUGCAUCUUUGUUGACGUUUAAGGUUCAUGUUAAUUUGACAAAAGUUUUCUGCAUGUCCUUCUUGAUGACGGGAAAACUGAGAGGGUCAUGCUGGCUCAUCCAUCAGGUUUAGAAGCUUCUCAAGAAGCUGACCGAGUAUCGAGUGCUUGUCCCUAUGAUCAAUGGGUGUUCGUGGAUUGAGCUACGCCCACUUACCAGUCGGAAACAUCAGUUCCACGUAUCGUCCCAUGUGGUUGAACCACCUGAUCUUUCUUCUUCAUUCUUCUGCAGUAACCAAAGAUUUUGGAAAACCAAUGGAUGCAGCUGAACAUGCUGCAGUGAAGUUUCUACUAUUUAUACGACAUGGGAUUUGCUGCCUUCAAAUUCUACCUUAUGUCAGAAAUCAAUAUAAUGUGUUACUAUAAUAUGAGUUUGUGGCGAUGUUGGAAUUACAAAGUCAUGAGAUAUAUGGAAAAGCCUACAUAUAUUAUGCGAGUUCCUAAAAAAUCAACUCCUGAAGAUUAUAUAGAGCUAGUAUUGCCAAUACUAUUGAGACGAUGUGAUGUAGCUCGACUUCCGGCAUGGCUUCAACUAUAAGUUUUGUAGAAGGGAGCAUUGAUGUUUCAAGGAAAAGAAUGGAUGUUGAGUGCUUGGACAUGAUUCAAUUCCACUGGUGGGACUAGGCCAAUACUGGGUAUCUUGAUGCAUUGAAAAAUCUUACGGAUCUGAAAGAUGAAGGAAAAAUUAAGACCGUGGCUCUUACAAAUUUUGAUACGGAAAGGUUGCGCAUAAUUCUUGAAAAUGAGAUUCCUGUUGUUAGCAACCAGGUGCAACAUUCACUUAUCGACAUGCGUCCUCAGUGGAGAAUGGCAAAGCUUUGUCAGCAAACAUGAGUCAAACUUAUAACGUAUGGAACAGUUAUGGGUGGGCUUCUAUCUAAGAAAUUCCUCGAUACGAACUUGGCCAUUCCUUUGUCAGAACACUUGAGUGCUUGUUGCUUACUUCAGCUAUAGUUGCACCUUAUUGCAGUAUUUGGAUUGCAUUGCAGGCUGGUGCUGCAGUUUGGUGCAUGGGAUUCCAAAAAUUCUGAUGUCCUUAUAACAUUUAAGGAAUACGUUCAUAUGGAUAUAUUAGUUUAUCUUAAUGUUAAUUGUUAUUUAUUUGUACUAUAUUUUGUAUUUAUGAACAAAAAUAUUAGAAAUGAAACUUUUAUCUACAUGUAAA